rnacentral:lncRNA from 1 species
AAGGAGUUGAGAAGGAGGCCGAGGGCGAGGUCGGCGACCCAGUCAGCGAGGAGGUAGCUGGACCAGACGACGAAGCGGAUGAGGCCGGAGGAGGAGUGUUGGGAAUCCGGUACUCGCCCCGGUACCGGAUCUCGUGAAUCCGCAACCCGCUCCGAUACCGACUGCUGUGGAUUCGGUACCGAUGGUUGGGAUUCCGCAACGAAAACGUCAAAUCGGGUUUUUACCAUAAACCCGUCUCCUCAGCAAAAGCUGAUACAAUCAUAAAAGAGAGAAAUACCAAAACAGAAAAUAUGCGGGUAAAAUAAGAUUCAUUAAAUAAGAGAAGAUUACACCUGACUCCUCUUCUGCACAGAGUAGCUACAAUCCGAGCCCUCUUUCUGAAUCUCUCCUACCCUUCUCUCAUCUUCUAUAAUUCCACAAAGAAGACAAUCAUCCACGCGCACCCGUGCACUAGGUGCACUCAACACAUUGGAUAACUCUCUCUCUCUCUUUUUCUCUCUCUCGGGUACGGCACCACACAAGCUCCUGCCGUACACCCUCACAGCUUCUCCAAAUUAAUUUACCCAAUGCAUUAUUUAUAAUGCUCCAACUAGAAUGUACCCAAUUCUAGUAUAUUUAGGAUUUCUACUUUAAUUAAUAUCUAAAUCUAUUUUAAUCAAUCUCUAAUAGAUUUAAAUAUUAAUCCUAAUCUAGUUAGGUUUAUCCUCUAAUUAAUAUUUAAAUCUUAAUUUAUCUCAAACAGAUUUAAAUAUUAAUUCUUAUCCAAAUAGGAUUUAACUACAAAUCUAACCAAAUCCUAACAUUCUCCACCUUGGUUUGAUUUGUAAUUUUCAGCCGCUACGUCGAGCUCACCAUGCAAGCUCCACCAUGCAAGCUCACCGUCUUCGCUCCCGUUCUGACUGUGCUCCCGUUCAAAACGUAUAAGUUCCCACGCUUGUUGGCUUCGCAUACGACCCGAUCUCAUUUUCGGACCCUCAUAGCUCCACCUGAAGCCGAAAUAUCGCAACCCUUCGAGUCCAAUGCGCCUAACGAGAUCAAAUUCCGCUUCAAUCCAGGAACGUGCCGCACACCUGUCAGCGUCCUCACGACCCCAUCGUGCAUUCGGAUUUUCACCAUGCCGACUCCCAAUACUUUGCACGCUGUCCCGUUCCCCAUCAGCGCCUUUCCACCUUUGAUCGCCUUAUAGGUGGCAAAAGACUCCUUCUCCUGGCAUACGUGAAAAGAACACGCCGAAUCGAGCACCAAUGCAUCGUCCGAAAUUUUCGCACCUCCGGUCGCCACAUACAGCACAUCAGAAUCGAUCAUCUCCGACUCUGCUGUCUGCGCCGUCGCUGAUACCGUCUCGUCCUGGUUCACGACAGUUUGCUCCUUCUGUCGCUUUAACUCCUUCAGAUCAUCCUGAAGUUUUCGACAAUUGCGCUUGAUAUGCCCCUUCCUGUGACAGUAAAAGCAUUCUACCUCAGAUAGCGGUUUCUUCUGUCGAUAUCCGGUCGCCGAUAUUCUCGCCUCCUUCUUCGCAGUCACCACCAGUCCUACAUCCUGACUUUGCGUGCCGGACUCCUGAGUCAUCUUCCGCAUCUCGUUCGAGAGAAGCGCCGCCGUGACCGCCUCCACGCUUAUGGACUCCUUGCCAUAAAGCAACGUGGUCACCAGAUGCUCAUAUGUCGUCGGUAGCGAAGAUAGUAGGAUCAACGCCUUGUCUUCGUCAUCCAGAUUGACUCCGAUGCUGGUCAACUGGGCCACCACCUUGUUGAACUCAUUUAGAUGAUCAUGUAGGCUCGCCGCUUCUUGCAUCCGCAACGUAAACAGUCGCUGCUUCAGAUACAAUCUGUUCGUCAGGGAUUUGGUCAUGUACAGAUCUUCCAAUUUCUUCCACAAUUUCGCCGGUGUCGUCUCGCCGGCUACAUUGUAAAGAACCUCAUCUGCUAAUGAUAGAUGAAGCGUACUCAGCGCCUUCCGCUCCAUCUUCGUCCAUGCCGCAUCCGUGACCUCCGCCGGCUUUGCCUCCUUCCCGUUCAACGUCUCGUCUAACUCUUGCUGUACGAGGAUUGCUCGUACUUUAAUUUGCCAUAAUCCGAAAUUGUUCUUGCCGUCGAACUUCUCGAUUUCGAAUUUCGUGGCCAUCUCCGUCGAUCUCUCCCGCAGAUCGGUAACCUUCGGCUCUGAUACCACUUGUUGGGAAUCCGGUACUCGCCCCGGUACCGGAUCUCGUGAAUCCGCAACCCGCUCCGAUACCGACUGCUGUGGAUCCGGUAUCGAUUGUUGGGAUUCCGCAACGGAAGCGUCAAAUCGGGUUUUUACCAUAAACCCGUCUCCUCAGCAAAAGCUGAUACAAUCAUAAAAGAGAGAAAUACCAAAACAGAAAAUAUGCGGGUAAAAUAAGAUUCAUUAAAUAAGAGAAGAUUACACCUGACUCCUCUUCUGCACAGAGUAGCUACAACCCGAGCCCUCUUUCUGAAUCUCUUCUACCCUUCUCUCGUCUUCUAUAAACCCAUAAAGAAGACAAUCCUUCACAUGCACCCGUGCACUAGGUGCACUCAAAGCAUAAUUAAAUAACUCUCUCUCUCUCUUUUUCUCUCUCUGGUACGGCACCCAAGAGGCCUUUUCUCUCUCUCCCGUACUCACCUCAAAAAGCAAACCCACAAAGAGCUAUUUAUAAGGCUCCACCAAAACGUACCCCAAUCCUAAUAUAUUUAGGAUUUCUACUCCAAUUAAUAUCUAAAUCUAUCUUAAUCAAUCUCUAAUAGAUUUAAAUAUUAAUCCUAAUCUAGUUAGGUUUAUCCUCUAAUUAAUAUUUAAAUCUUAAUUUAUCUCAAACAGAUUUAAAUAUUAAUUCUUAUCCAAAUAGGAUUUAACUACAAAUCUAACCAAAUCCUAACAAGGAGGUGCGGCGGAACGGCGCGGAGAAGAUGAGGAGCACUUGGAGGGCCAGACUGGCCUGCACGGCCACCCGGAUCUCCCAGUUCGUGUCCUGUUGCGGAACUGGUGGCUCAAACCCCAUCCUUAUCUCUCUCUCUUUUUAUAUACCGUGCACUUGCACUUAACAGUGAGCCGAAUUAUGUAUACAUUGAGCAGUCGAAUAGUGUUGGUUGCUUCUUUUGCUUAAGUUGAUGACGAUAAUCUGCAGUUGAAAUUGCAAUAUCGUAAGCACAGUUUAAAAAAAAAAAGAAAAAAAAGAAAAAAAAAAAAAAAAAAAAAAAAAAAAAGCGGGUAAUGAUAAAACAGAAGCACCUAUAAAUUUGAAGAACUAAUUUAUUAUUAUGUGAGAAAUUAAUGCUAAGUUUACAAUUGAAAAAGAAUUAUAGAAUAGCAACUCUCAGUCCACAAAUUGCAAUCUUAUCCUUAGGAUUUAAUUUUCUUUUUGAAUUUUAGUAAUUUACCAAAUGUAGAGCUAGCAUAUAUUGCUCUUUGUAACAGAAUAUGGAAUCUUAAAAAUGAGUGGGCUUUAUAAAAAAAAAAAUGGUUGCGUUGACUCUUACUUAAAAAAAAUAGAGAAAUGUCACUGCACACUCAAGUAUUUUGUAUUAAAGAAAAUAAGAAUGUGAUAAAACUAUUCUAAAACUAUUGGCCUUUAGAUAAAAAAAUAUAUAUAAGAUUCAUAUCUACUUUUGAAUGUACAGAUAAUAUUACUUUAAUUAGUAUAUUACUAUAUCUUGUUCAAUUGAGUAUGGUGCUUAUAAAGGAUUUGAAAUUUUUUAUAUUUGGCCAAGUCUACAGAUGAUUUUAAAGAUUUGAAUUUUAUUUGCUAUUUAAUAACAAUUAGGUAGAAAUGCACUUAAUUAAAAAAAAAAAAAACAGGAGAAAGAGAGAGGGAGAGAUUAAGAUCUUGUCACCUAUUCCGUAACACUGGGGCUAUAGC